AUCUAAAAUUAAUUACUAUAUGAAUCAGGUCGAAGCUUGUACUCUUCGAAAAAAUCUACAAACUAUAAUAUAAAGGCUACUAUUAUAACAUGGUUUAUUUCAAAAAUUAUAAAUCGUAAUGCUUGUUCAUUACAAUUUGUAGUUUAAUUAACUUUAUUUCUACACAAACAAAUUAUUCACUAGAUCUAUCAUUUUUCAGAAUUUUAGUUUAGAAUAACAAUACUUUUUUUUGUUCUUUAAAACUAUGCCUGUGAACGAGUAUAUUAAAUCAUUUUAGAUGGACAUGG
rnacentral:sRNA from 1 species